UGACGCUGUGCGGCAGGCCUAACACAUGCAAGUCGAGCGGAUGAAGGGAGCUUGCUCCCGGAUUCAGCGGCGGACGGGUGAGUAAUGCCUAGGAAUCUGCCUGGUAGUGGGGGACAACGUUCCGAAAGGAGCGCUAAUACCGCAUACGUCCUACGGGAGAAAGUGGGGGAUCUUCGGACCUCACGCUAUCAGAUGAGCCUAGGUCGGAUUAGCUAGUAGGUGGGGUAAUGGCUCACCAUAGGCGACGAUCCGUAACUGGUCUGAGAGGAUGAUCAAGUCACACUGGAACUGAGACACGGUCCAGACUCCUACGGGAGGCAACAAGUGGGGAAUAUUUGGACAAUGGGCGAAAGCUGAUCCAGCCAUGCCCCUGUGUGAAGAAGGUCCUCCGGWUUUAAAGCACUUUAGUUGGAGGAAGGCAUAGUUAUACCUGCUGUUUUACUUACAAAAAAAAGACGGUAWUCUGCAA
rnacentral:rRNA from 1 species